rnacentral:rRNA from 1 species
GACAGAGGGCUCAAGCGUUAGGCGGAAUCACUGGGCGUAAAGCGUGUGUAGGCGGACUUCUAAGUGCCUUGUGAAAUCCCACGGCUCAACCGUGGAACUGCUGGGCAUACUGGGAGUCUUGGGCCAUUCAGGGGCAACUGGAACAAGCGGUGGAGCGGUGAAAUGCGUAGAUAUCGCUUGGAACGCCGAAGGUGAAAACAGGUUGCUGGGGAUGUGCCGACGCUGAGACACGAAAGCCAGGGGAGCAAACGGG